UUUGCGAAACAUCAGUAUUAUUUUAGCACCAUAGACUUCGUAAAUAUAGGAACCACUCCCGAAACCCCAUAUACCAUGGCCUUAAUCAUCAUUUCCGUAUAAGUCCUCAGUAGUUUAUCUCAGCAGUUAGCUCCGGCCUACGCAUCCUCUACGUAGGGGACAGAUGCAAAUAAGUGAAUGAUCCAGAAAAACAAAAAAAAUAAAAGAAAGCAAAAAGGCAACUCCGGUAUAGGUGACCCUCACAAAGUCAUUUAA
rnacentral:lncRNA from 1 species